UACGUAGGUGGCAAGCGUUAUCCGGAUUCAUUGGGCGUAAAGGGAACGCAGGCGGUCUUUUAAGUCUGAUGUGAAAGCCUUCGGCUUAACCGGAGUAGUGCAUUGGAAACUGGGAGACUUGAGUGCAGAAGAGGAGAGUGGAACUCCAUGUGUAGCGGUGAAAUGCGUAGAUAUAUGGAAGAACACCAGUGGCGAAAGCGGCUCUCUGGUCUGUAACUGACGCUGAGGUUCGAAAGCGUGGGUAGCAAACAGG
rnacentral:rRNA from 1 species